CAUGUUUUUGCUUUUAUCAGCCUGGGAGCUAGGUCCCUGGAGACAAGAAUUUUAGAACAGUUAUGACUCUCUCUGGGAGUGUACUAAGGUUAGUCUGAAUCCUUCUGGGGAAUUCAGGUUUGAAGGAGUUAGAAGAGUGCUAACAUCACCGUCACUGUUACCUACCAAUGGAUGCUUCCUGGGUGCAAGACCAAAGAUGUUCUUUGGUGUCUAGUCCCUUGUCUCAUGUCUAAUGUAACCUGCCAUUUUCCUUUACAGGUAGGAGCAACGGUGGGAAUGCCCUCUGAGGAAUGCAGUGAUGUCCAUCAGUCACCUCUCACCCAGAGCCUGGCAAAUUCAGUCUCUUUCACAGAACCUAAAGCCAAGCCAGGUUCAGUGGGAAAUCCCACCUGUCCAAACACUGUGUGAGACACCAGAAUUAGAGGCCUGCAAGCCUGCUUCCUUCAUCCCCAAUGCCCAGAUGGGACAGGUCACCAGCCUCCUGUGUCUACCCCCACCUUUCUUGCUUGCUGGCCUCCUCUCUCUGCAGUGCCUCUCUCAUCCCUGCAAUCCAGACAGCACAUGCAGCAGCUCAAAUGUGAAAAACAAGACCCAGAGAGGGGAAAUCAUUUGAAUCCUGUCCUGGUAUUGCUUUGUGUUCCUGGAUUUGGAGAAUUUCUGGGAACACAGGAAAAGGAAAGUGAAUGCCACCAGGAUCUGAACCCAAGAUUCCAGCCUCGGUCACCACCCUGACCCUGAGAAUGCCACUGGGAUGGGGAGAACUUGUCAGUCUUCAUCCUUCCCCACAAGUAUACUGAAGCCAGGACAGCACCUGCCUUAGAGAGCUCUUAGAGGGAUUAUCCGCAGCCUGAAGAAAGAAGGUUACAACUGAGGAAGAACUUCUGAACAGGGAAGAGUGGAAGAAAAGACUGCAGCUCAGCUCCAGAAGCAGACCCAGAAUGGCAUCCUUCUCUGAGACCCAGACCCCAGCCCCUUUUCAUGGAAGACCAGCACAAAGGAGGAAGUAGGUUAGGGAAUGGUAAGGCUCCAUGUGAUGGGACUAAUGUGGAGAGGCCUGGGGCCUUUCCCUGAGGACUGGAUGGCUGGAGUUUGGGAGCCUGAGUUGACAGAGGAGGCUAAGCCCGGGCAGCUACUUUGUUCCAGAAAUCUAAGGUCCCUGGAGGGAGGCUCUGCUUUGGGAGGGGGAAGGGAGCUAACAUUGCAGAGCACCAACUGUGAACCAGGUACAAUGGCAGAGCCUUUCCAUACCUGUACUCACAACUAGCGGGUGAGGAGUCAAGGCAAAUAGGUGUCUCAUAGCUCCCCAUAUCUCGGCAGUCGACCACCUCCUCCUUUGAUUCUCUGAUGUCACUGCCAGUUCUCCUCCUAUUGCUCUGACCUGUCUUUCUCUGUGUCCUUUGCAAACUCAUUCUCAACUCCUUAGACUCAGUCAAGUCCCCCAGUUACACACUUCCAUGGUACUAUAUAUCAUUCCUUCAGAGCACUUAACACAGUUAUUUCCUAUGUAUUUGUCCAGUCAUUUGAAUAAUGAUCCUAGUUUCAUUGGAUGGAAAGUUCCACAAGGUCAGUGACCAUUUCUAUCUGUGUUCACCAAUGUGUUCCCAGUGCCCAGAAACAAUGCCUAGCAUAAAGCAGCUGUUUUGUAAAUACUUGUUCAAUGAAUGAAUAAAUGACAAAAGAACAUC
rnacentral:lncRNA from 1 species